rnacentral:sRNA from 1 species
UUGAAAUCAAACACAACAGGAGUUUCUACACAAUUUUUAUGACGUUUCUCCAUCUUCCUCUGCUUCCGCCCAAUUUAAUUGAACCAACUUUCGCCAUACUAAAAAAAGAAGCUUUUGUUCUUAACAAAAAUAUUUUUCAACGCUUUUUGACUUAUUAUGAUAAGCAGUGGCUAAAAUCUGAAGGACCUGACCGCAUUUCCGUUUUUAAGAGAGCCCUCAGAACGACAAGUUCUCUUGAGGCCGACAAUUUAAAUUUAGGGAAUAAAAUUCACACAAAAGGAUAUUUCUUCUUCAAAAAGUCGAGAAUUCGCGCUUUUAUUUCAAAAUGGAGGACUUGGAAAUGCCCCACAAAAGCGUUAUUUAAAGGACCGUUCUCAAAAAAUAAUGGAUUCCAUGGAUCUUUUGGAGGCAAUAGAAACUUAUGUGCAAGGAUUCUUGUCUCGAACCCUUGCCUUAAAUGAUCGCUUCAAAAAUCAGGAUCUUUUUAAAAAUUUUGCACUCGAAAACGAAGGCCUCAGAUUGGAGGACAUGGCGGCUCUGAGUAUUUUGGAAUCAUAUGUUUCCUCGAAUGAUUCGAAUCUUAGCCAAAUGUCAGAGUCGGAAAUAAUCCAACAGAGUCCAUGUAAUGGGUGCUUAGUCAGCCCAAAAUCAGUUUGGUUUCGACCUUGCAACCAUCUAAACGUCUGAAAUCAGUGUUGGGAUUGCAUAUUACAGAAAGCACAAGCUACGGAAAUGCAACUAAAAUGCCCGACUUGUAAUCAACAUGUUACCAAGGCUAUUAUAUUUGAAGAGCUCUC